AUACGGAGGACGCGAGCGUUAUCCGGAUUCAUUGGGUUUAAAGGGUGCGCAGGCGGCCGUGCAAGUCAGCGGUGAAAGCCCGGCGCCUAACGCCGGAACUGCCUUUGAUACUUCCGAGCUGGAAUACGGAUGCCGUGGGAGGAAUGAGUAGUGUAGCGGUGAAAUGCAUAGAUAUUACUCAGAACACCGAUUGCGAAGGCAUCUCACGAAUCCGUCAUUGACGCUGAGGCACGAAAGCGUGGGGAUCAAACAGGAUUAGAUACCCUGGUAGUCCACGCAGUAAACGAUGAUGACUAACCGUCGGCGAUACACAGUCGGUGGCCAAGCGAAAGCGAUAAGUCAUCCACCUGGGGAGUACGUUCGCAAGAAUGAAACUCAAAGGAAUUGGCGGGG
rnacentral:rRNA from 1 species